CUAACAUUGAACACAUCCAGAGUGACGACAAGACUCGGUUUUACAGAGGAAUCAACCUGAGUUUUUUCACUCAUAAUUAGCAUCUCUCCGUGAGAAGUAUACAUAUUUUGUGAAACCGUUUUUCGGAUAUUGAUACGAUUUCGUGAAGCAUUUGUAGAAUAUAUGUCUUUUUCAGCCAUCUUUUUGUUUGAGCGUCAAUUUCAAAUCAACGUCAGUCAUGUCAUCCGCCUAAGGCGAAAGGGAACAUUUUGGCUAUCGACAGCAUCAGAAGUACACACACACAUCUAUUUAUACAUAGAUAGAUACCUCUCCCCCUCUUGUCGUUUUCUCAAUUACCAACUAUAUUUUGCUGGUUCAUACGUCACCCCUACAUUCUGACGAGAAUAUGUAACGAAACGAAAAUCCUGCCGAAGAGUGUCAAGCCGCGCGCACAUCACAUACACCAAUGAUCUAAUUUCAGGAUACAAAGCUACAGAUUGACUGAUUUUGUUGCAUAGAUUUGAAACAUUGGAUUGGAAAAACUCAGAAAUAACAGGCUCAAAAACAUUCGAUCUACUUUCCAUGGAAGAGUAACAUAUUAUCAUAUUAUCUUCCAUAUAGAAUCCCUUAUUACCCUUUAUUAAUUUGUCAGGUUGCUCUGUAUAAAGCAUGCAAUAUAAUUAUUGCACUUAAAACCUUCAUUAUGAUUUGAGUUUUGCACAAACUCGGAAGAUUAUCCGUGUAUUAAUGAAACUAUGUAACAAGAAGCUGAUCGACAUGGAUGAAUCCAAGCAAAGCAUCCAGUUUCAGAAAAAAAAGCAGCUAGUUGGUCGAUAAAUGUACCCUGUUAGCUGGUUUCAAAACUUUCAAUACGCUGACGUUGGAAAUGCACUUCGUACAAUGUUUUAAUAACGAAUACUAAGAGCUGGCUUGGAUAAUUAUUGGAUUACCUUGUAUGCUGUGUCGGGGAAUCGUCAACCAACUCGGAGUAAUAUUUUAUUAGCGAAUAGAAUAGUAAUGCUCUUAUCGAUUUUUGUUCUACAUCUACCCUGUAGAUCCGAAUUUGUUUGAACAUUAACAAACGACAAAUUCGGUUCUAGAGAGGUUUGUGUGGGGCAAUUGUUAACAACACAGUAAAAUGUAAGACAUAUUUUCUGAUGCCUGAGUUUCGACAUAACAAAAAAAAGUGAUAUGUAUGGUGUGCAAAUAAAAAUAGACU